rnacentral:lncRNA from 1 species
CUGUUGCUCUCCUGCCAGUGUGAUUAGCAAUGGAGGUCUUUGACCCAGGCAGUCACCGCUCUCAAGGAACAAGUGUCCAUGAAGAAGCAGCCUGAGCUGUUAGGCAUCUGCCUUUGCUCAAGACAUCCUCUGCCUAUAUUGUAUAUGGGAAUUUCCACUUUCAUUUAUGUCGCUUGUACUCCAUGAAAAUGUGCAGCCCUGGCAGUUACCCUGGAUGGUUUUGCUGUCGUGAUUAAAACACAGAUGGAGCUCAUCCCUUCCCUGGGUGUUUGAUUGGCAGACUCUCUGUGAUCAGCACUCUUCUCUGGUGAACACAUCAGCGCCAUCUGCCUUCUGUCUGCCUGGAGAGACUUGCCACAGUAGAGCUUCCUCAGCCUCACAUGAACCGCUGCAAAGGAUGUGCGCUCCUUUUGCUGAAGCCGUCAAAUAAAAAAGCUUUUUCAUGAAAAGCUAAAUAGAAUACAUGAAGAUUUUCACGACAGUAGGCUUCCGGAUUAAUGAAAUAUUCAUUUAAAUUGGACUUGGAGGAUAUGUCACUUCUUUUCUUUGAUUAAAAUAUUUAGAGCAUAACACAAAAUCACUGUGUCUUGAAAAAGCCAAACUUCAAGGAAAUUCAGCUGAUGGGGCAUCUUGUUUUCAGUGAGGUUGUUAAAGAUGAUUUUUCCAACCAGGGUCAGGUGCUUGGAACCGUUAGGUGAAUGCUAGGCAUGGUGGGAGUCCUCUUGUGUGCUUAAGAGUUUAAGAGAUCGAACCCAAUAGAUAGUAAGCUUCUUUCAAAGAGAAUGCUAAUUUUAAUGUUUUUAUGACUUAAAUAGAUUGUAAUAAGUUAUUACUUCCUAAUUUAGAUGUUGGUAUGACGACUGGGCAGACGCAUGUUCUUGUUCCACAUCAACAUUGUAUGACUGCAGAGUGUAGCCUGAGUGCUUAGGAAAGGGUACUUUUACGAUAUUGGAAGACUGGACAUCGUGACAUUAGGAGGAGGGAGGGGGUUACUGGGCUGUUCUAAAAUUAGCAAUGUGAAGAGCUGGUUCAAACUUAAUUGCCUAGGUGUGGAAGAAAUAUACUUGUAUUGUGCUUAAUAAUGUGAAUUAUCUGUAUCAUUAAAUAACAGGAAACCCGUUUGAGUUUCUUCUUCCUGUCCAAAUAAAUAAAUAAAUAAAUAAAUAAAUAUAAUUAACACAGUGAAAAA